rnacentral:rRNA from 1 species
UACGGAGGGUGCAAGCGUUAUCCGGAUUCACUGGGUUUAAAGGGUGCGUAGGUGGGCAGGUAAGUCAGUGGUGAAAUCUCCGAGCUUAACUCGGAAACUGCCAUUGAUACUAUCUGUCUUGAAUAUCCUGGAGGUGAGCGGAAUAUGUCAUGUAGCGGUGAAAUGCUUAGAUAUGACAUAGAACACCAAUUGCGAAAGGCAGCUUACUACACAGUGAUUGACACUGAGGCACGAAAGCGUGGGGAUCAAACAGG